rnacentral:rRNA from 1 species
GACGAACGCUGGCGGCGUGCUUAACACAUGCAAGUCGAACGGAAAGGCCCUGCUUUUGUGGGGUGCUCGAGUGGCGAACGGGUGAGUAACACGUGAGUAACCUGCCCUUGACUUUGGGAUAACUUCAGGAAACUGGGGCUAAUACCGGAUAGGAGCUCCUGCUGCAUGGUGGGGGUUGGAAAGUUUCGGCGGUUGGGGAUGGACUCGCGGCUUAUCAGCUUGUUGGUGGGGUAGUGGCUUACCAAGGCUUUGACGGGUAGCCGGCCUGAGAGGGUGACCGGCCACAUUGGGACUGAGAUACGGCCCAGACUCCUACGGGAGGCAGCAGUGGGGAAUAUUGCACAAUGGGCGGAAGCCUGAUGCAGCAACGCCGCGUGCGGGAUGACGGCCUUCGGGUUGUAAACCACUUUCGCCUGUGACGAAGCGUGAGUGACGGUAAUGGAUAAAGAAGCACCGGCUAACUACGUG